rnacentral:rRNA from 1 species
CCAUGCAGUCGAACGAUGAACCACCUUCGGGUGGGGAUUAGUGGCGAACGGGUGAGUAACACGUGGGCAAUCUGCCCUUCACUCUGGGACAAGCCCUGGAAACGGGGUCUAAUACCGGAUACUGACCUGCCAAGGCAUCUUGGCGGGUCGAAAGCUCCGGCGGUGAAGGAUGAGCCCGCGGCCUAUCAGCUUGUUGGUGAGGUAAUGGCUCACCAAGGCGACGACGGGUAGCCGGCCUGAGAGGGCGACCGGCCACACUGGGACUGAGACACGGCCCAGACUCCUACGGGAGGCAGCAGUGGGGAAUAUUGCACAAUGGGCGAAAGCCUGAUGCAGCGACGCCGCGUGAGGGAUGACGGCCUUCGGGUUGUAAACCUCUUUCAGCAGGGAAGAAGCGAAAGUGACGGUACCUGCAGAAUAAUCGCCGGCUAACUACGUGCCAGCAGCCGCGGUAAUACGUAGGGCGCACCGCGUUGUCCGGAAUUAUUGGGCGUAAAGAGCUCGUAGGCGGCUUGUCACGUCGGUUGUGAAAGCCCGGGGCUUAACCCCGGGUCUGCAGUCGAUACGGGCAGGCUAGAGUUCGGUAGGGGAGAUCGGAAUUCCUGGUGUAGCGGUGAAAUGCGCAGAUAUCAGGAGGAACACCGGUGGCGAAGGCGGAUCUCUGGGCCGAUACUGACGCUGAGGAGCGAAAGCGUGGGGAGCGAACAGGAUUAGAUACCCUGGUAGUCCACGCCGUAAACGGUGGGCACUAGGUGUGGGCAACAUUCCAC